rnacentral:rRNA from 1 species
GAGAUUCCGAAAGUAGCGGCGAGCGAAAUCGGAUUAGCCCUUAAGCUUUAGUGUAGUUAGUGGAACAUUCUGGAAAGUUUGACGAUACAGGGUGACAGUCCCGUACACAAAAACUUAUCUAAAGUGAAAUCGAGUAGGUCGGAGCACGUGAAACUUUGACUGAAUAUAGGUGGACCAUCAUCUAAGGCUAAAUACUCCCAACUGACCGAUAGUGAACCAGUACCGUGAGGGAAAGGUGAAAAGCACCCCGGGAGGGGAGUGAAAUAGAACCUGAAACCGUGUGCUUACAAGUAGUCAGAGCCCGUUAAUGGGUGAUGGCGUGCCUUUUGUAGAAUGAACCGGCGAGUUGCGAUUUCAUGCAAGGUUAAGCAGAGGAUGCGGAGCCGUAGCGAAAGCGAGUCUGAAUAGGGCGUCCAGUAUGGGGUUGCAGACCCGAAACCAGGUGAUCUACCCAUGUCCAGGCUGAAGUCCAGGUAACACUGGAUGGAGGGCCGAACCGACUUACGUUAAAAAGUGACCGGAUGAGGUGUGGGUAGCGGAGAAAUUCCAAUCGAACCUGGAGAUAGCUGGUUCUCUCCGAAAUAUAUUUAGGUAUAGCCUCGUGUUAGCAUCGUGGAGGUAGAGCACUGUUUGGACGAGGGGCCCAUCCCGGGUUACCGAAUUCAGACAAACUCCGAAUGCCACAGAUGUGAUGCACGGGAGUCAGACAGCGGGUGAUAAGGUCCGUUGUCGAGAGGGAAACAGCCCAGACCACCAGUUAAGGUCCCAAAAUAUAUGUUAAGUGGAAAAGGAUGUGGCGUUGCACAGACAACUAGGAUGUUGGCUUAGAAGCAGCCAUCAUUUAAAGAGUGCGUAAUAGCUCACUAGUCAAGUGACGCUGCGCCGAAAAUGUACCGGGGCUAAACAUAUUACCGAAACUGUGGAUCAAUUUAUUGAUGGUAGGAGAGCGUUCCAAUGGCAGGGAAGCAUGACCGUGAGGACAUGUGGAGCGAUUGGAAGUGAGAAUGCCGGUGUGAGUAGCGAAAGACGGGUGGGAAUCCCGUCCACCGAAUGACUAAGGUUUCCAGAGGAAGGCUCGUCCGCUCUGGGUUAGUCGGGACCUAAGCCGAGGCGGAAACGCGUAGGCGAUGGACAACAGGCAGAAAUUCCUGUACCGGUGAUAUGUGUUUGAGUGAAGUGGUGACGCAGGAGGAGAAGCAGAGCGUGCGAUUGGAAGAGCACGUCCAAGCAUCGAGUCGUCAGGGUAGGCAAAUCCGCCCUGUACAACGACGAGGUGUGACGGGGAGCCGAAAUUUAGUAGGCGAAGCUGUGGGUUCACACUGCCAAGAAAAGCUGCUGGCGAAUAUAUCACUGCCCGUACCGCAAACCGACACAGGUAGUUGGGAAGAGAAUUCUAAGGUGAGCGAGCGAACUCUCGUUAAGGAACUCGGCAAAAUGACCCCGUAACUUCGGGAGAAGGGGUGCUCAUGAAAAUGAGCCGCAGUGAAUAGGCCCAAGCGACUGUUUAUCAAAAACACAGGUCUCUGCCAAACCGAAAGGUGACGUAUAGGGGCUGACGCCUGCCCGGUGCUGGAAGGUUAAGAGGAGCGCUCAGCGUAAGCGAAGGUGCGAAUCGAAGCCCCAGUAAACGGCGGCCGUAACAAUAACGGUCCUAAGGUAGCGAAAUUC